GCCCUGGCUCAGUGGAUAGAGCAUCAACCCUUGGACUAAAGGGUCACGGGUUCGAAUCCCGUCAAGGGCA
rnacentral:tRNA from 1 species